UGUGUGGCAAAGCUUUGAUUAUCCAGCAGAUACUCUGCUGCCAGGGAUGAAAUUUGGGCUGAAUCAUAAAACAGGUCAUCACUUAUUCUUAACAUCUUGGAAAUCAGCAGAUGACCCUGGAAAUGGAGACUACAAGUUUAAGCUCAACCCAGCUGGAUCACCACAAUUCUUUCUCUACAGUGGCAUAAAAUAUUAUUGGCGAGGUGUCCCAUGGCCAUGGAAAAGUUUUGCACAUGCCUGGAACUACAGUUUUAUCAACAAUGAAGAUGAGACAUACAUGGCCUACUUUCUUGCUGAUGCUUCUGUUAUCCUGAGAAUAGUUUUGGACCAUUCUGGAUUUCUUAGGCAGCUGACAUGGCAUGAAAGUUCUGGAAAAUGGAAGGAAUGUAUCUCUGAACCCACGAAUCAGUGUGACACUUAUGGACGUUGCGGUACCUAUGGCAAAUGUGAUGCUGACUAUAAUCAUGGAAAAUUUGAAUGUGAUUGUUUACCUGG
rnacentral:misc_RNA from 1 species